rnacentral:rRNA from 1 species
GGGGGGGGGGGGGGGGGGGGGGGGGGGGGGGGGGGCGGGGGGGGGGGCGGGGGGGGGGGGGGGUGGUGGGGGGGGGGACGGGGGGGUGGCGCGUGAGUAGGCUGCCGGUGAGUUUGGGGUAACUUCAGGAAGCUGGGGCAAAGACCGGAUAGGCGCUCCGGCUGCAUGGUGGGGGUGGGAAGGGUUCGGCGGUUGGGGAUGGACUCGCGGCUUAUCAGCUUGUUGGUGGGGUAGUGGCUUCCCAAGGCUUUGACGGGUAGCCGGCCUGAGAGGGUGACCGGCCACAUUGGGACUGAGAUACGGCCCAGACUCCUACGGGAGGCAGCAGUGGGGAAUAUUGCACAAUGGGCGGAAGCCUGAUGCAGCAACGCCGCGUGCGGGAUGACGGCCUUCGGGUUGUAAACCGCUUUCGCCUGUGACGAAGCGUGAGUGACGGUAAUGGGUAAAGAAGCACCGGCUAACUACGUG